GUCUCGACGUUAUAUUAGUAGAGAUUUCUAGAUUCAUCUUCUUGGCACAACGCCAAAGUUCGCCAUAGUUCACGGGGGCGCGGAAUCACACAUGCUCACAUAUGAGUAGUUGAUGACCUCUCUAAGCCUUCGUGGUUGUGCUGGUCUAUUCACUCAAGUGACCUCUCAACAGAGGAAGCGGUUACUCAAGAAAGGUGUAAAAAUGAGAAACCAUGCAGGAGAGAUGAAGAGAGAAAGGACACAUGGAGGAAAAAGGACAUCACUAAAUCCUUUUCAAAUAUACAGAUGUGCCAACAAACCUGGUGGCUGGGAUCGACCUUAUCUUAUCUGUGCGAACACACCUAAAACAGAAUCCAAAAGAAAGCUGUUUGCUGAUCGGUCUGCCAUUCCCAACAAAAACGGGACUUUUAGGAAAAUAUGGCGAUUGAUUGUCUGUCACUAUUAAGCAAGGCCACAUACUUUGCAUCACUACACACUUAUUAAGAGAGUUGUGUUUGCUGUGUACCUCUAAUAAAGCUAUAAACCACAAACACACACACAGUCAAUGAAUCAAUACUAGUUAGCAUUAAAGUCUAUGUGUGCGAUAAAUGAGUCACAAAAGAAAGAGUGACUCAAGGUCAGCCUGAAUAUUUUAAAUGAGAGCGAUUAAAUCGAAGCCCUCCGCACGUGUAUUGUAGUGCAUGUCUGUGGUUCAGAAACCUUUCGCAAAGGAGGAACGUUAUUGCAAUAAUGCGAGAAUGGAGAGAUUUAUAAUCCUUUAAGCUGUCUCUAAUUUGUAUUAAAAAUUAUAUAUAAUAUAAAG